rnacentral:rRNA from 1 species
UACGAGGGGGGCGAGCGUUGUUCGGAAUUAUUGGGCGUAAAGGGUGCGUAGGCGGUUUGGUAAGUCUUGUGUGAAAUCUCCAGGCUCAACUUGGAGUCUGCACGAGAAACUGCCGGGCUUGAGUGUGGGAGAGGUGAGUGGAAUUCCUGGUGUAGCGGUGAAAUGCGUAGAUAUCAGGAGGAACACCUGUGGCGAAAGCGGCUCACUGGACCACAACUGACGCUGAUGCACGAAAGCUAGGGAAGCAAACAGG